UGGUGCUACGGACUAAAAGUCGCAUCGGUCAAAAGAUACGAUAUUUAGAGGGAAAAAACAUAUAUAAGUCGCACCGGACUGUAAGUACAAGUCAUUCAACUGUAAGGAAGGGAUGAUAAUUUGGUGGAUGAUUUAAAAAAUAUUUGUUAAUCAGAGUUCCUAUAGCAGCGCGAAUGCAACAGGAAAAUGUUCCUAAGGGACGCAUUAGUUCUUUGGGAAUCACACUAGUGGAUAUUGUCCCUAUAAAGCGGUGCCUAUGCCUGUGCUUUGUGUGUUUAGCUGAGCCAGAGACCUACCGUAGAGGAGCUCAGAGAGGCCAAAAUCCUCAUCCGCUUCAGCGAUUACGUGGAAGUGGCCGAAGCUCAGGAUUACGACCGGCGAGCGGACAAACCCUGGACGAGACUCACCGCUGCCGAUAAGGCUGCCAUACGCAAAGAACUCAAUGAGUUCAAAAGCACAGAGAUGGAGGUACAUGAGUCGAGUCGACAUCUAACCAGGUUUCAUCGGCCGUAGUGACGGCGAACUCUCGUAUGGAGCCGUUAAGACUUUACUGGGACGCUGAACAGCUGCACACGUAUCAGGAAUCACACGGUUCAGACGACAGAUCCGGAGCGGAUCCUCGGACUCUCGCCACGCGCCGGUGGAGACCAACCAGAAGUGUGCUGAUAUUUCUGUUUUUGACAUGCUCUUCUCCAUGAGUUUCUUAUUUCUUUUCUCCAGGCGAUGGUUUUAAUGCAGCGGAUGAUGUCGUUGAUUUCCUACAUGUACCUGAGAAGUGAUUCCACAGUCCUUUUAGGUUUUAAAAACAGGGAAAACAACUUUUUUAUUGAGCAUUCAGUCCCUCCAGGAUUUCACAAUUUUUUUUGGUGAUUUUUGCGAUCAAAAUGAGUGAUUUUGUGGUGGUAAU